GAUGAACGCUGGCGGCGUGCCUAACACAUGCAAGUCGAGCGAUCUCUUCGGAGAGAGCGGCGGACGGGUGAGUAACGCGUGGGUAACCUGCCCUGUACACACGGAUAACAUACCGAAAGGUAUGCUAAUACGGGAUAAUAUAUAAAAGUCGCAUGGCUUUUAUAUCAAAGCUUUUGCGGUACAGGAUGGACCCGCGUCUGAUUAGCUAGUUGGUAAGGUAACGGCUUACCAAGGCGACGAUCAGUAGCCGACCUGAGAGGGUGAUCGGCCACACUGGAACUGAGACACGGUCCAGACUCCUACGGGAGGCAGCAGUGGGGAAUAUUGCACAAUGGGCGAAAGCCUGAUGCAGCAACGCCGCGUGAGCGAUGAAGGCCUUCGGGUCGUAAAGCUCUGUCCUCAAGGAAGAUUAUGACGGUACUUGAGGAGGAAGCCCCGGCUAGCUACGUGCCAGCCGCCGCCGUAA
rnacentral:rRNA from 1 species